rnacentral:rRNA from 1 species
AAUAGAUACCCCGGUAGUCCACGCCGUAAACGAUGAAUACUAGGUGUAGGGGUUGUCAUGACCUCUGUGCCGCCGCUAACGCAUUAAGUAUUCCGCCUGGGGAGUACGGUCGCAAAGAUUAAAACUCAAAGGAAUUGACGGGGGCCCGCACAAGCAGCGGAGCAUGUGGUUUAAUUCGAAGCAACGCGAAGAACCUUACCUAGACUUGACAUCUCCUGAAUUACCCUUAAUCGGGGAAGCCCUUCGGGGCAGGAAGACAGGUGGUGCAUGGUUGUCGUCAGCUCGUGUCGUGAGAUGUUGGGUUAAGUCCCGCAACGAGCGCAACCCUUAUUGUUAGUUGCUACCAUUUAGUUGAGCACUCUAGCGAGACUGCCCGGGUUAACCGGGAGGAAGGUGGGGAUGACGUCGAAAUCAUCAUGCCCCUUAUGUCUAGGGCUACACACGUGCUACAAUGGCUGGUACAGAGAGACGCUAAACCGCGAGGUGGAGCCAAAACUUCAAAACCAGUCUCAGUUCGGAUUGUAGGCUGAAACUCGCCUACA